CUGGAUCACAACUAGACCUGACAUUAGGUGGGUAUAAGCUGGGCACUUGCCCCAUGUGCUGCAAAGUAAUGUUUAUGUUCAAAGAGAACAUUGCACCCCAUGGAUUUCUCUUUUUCUAAAAAAUUCAAUGAUGAAAUGGUGUUGGCCAGUCCAUUCCAGAUCCCAUACAAGCACUGGAAACCAGCAGCGAGCUGCCAGAGUAACAGUAGAUAUAUCUCUGAACCCAAGUCCUUCAGUAAAUAAGGCAAUGUCCCCAGAAAUUCAAAUGUAAGCUCCAUGGAAAAGGGUCAGCUAAAGAAAAGACCAGUCUUCACAUGAGGUGCCAUAGCAACACAGAGCUUUUGCUUGCUCUCAAGACCAUCAUCGUUGGUUAUGUCAGUAUACUUUGAGGCUCCAAUUUUUCACAGUGACUUAAACAUGAAAAAGUGGCUAAUAGACUCUUGUUAGCCGGCAGUAAGGUGUUAUACGACAUGUGAAAUUUUCCAGGAAUAUAUAUAGAAGAUAAUGUACCCCUUACUGAAUUUUAUAAAGCUAAUAGAUGUCACAAGGAAGGCCUGAAGGCUGAGUGCUUUUAUAAAGGUCAUGGAA